rnacentral:lncRNA from 1 species
GGAAGAGGAACAGAUGGUAGCAUGCCUCCAGGCUCGUGAAAAGGGGAGAGCCGAGAGUCCCAGGGAAUCAGGAAUACACACAAAUCCAGCGGAAGUUUGGACCUUGGGGCUUUCAGAGGCGUGGAGGUCAAGGUCCGUAUCUGAUUCCCGCAGAAUGAUAGACACCUUACUGCUUCCACCCACCCCUGUGAGAACAUCAGGUCUGGUUUCAAGGCUUCUGUCGCCAAGGUUUCUAAUCUGCAGGAUGCAAGACAGUCACUGGUUUCCUGAAGAAGGCAGGACAGCAUCUCCUCCUUCCCCCUGCCUUAUGUGCAGUUCUCGGUGUUCAGUCUCACAAAGGCUUGUGCAAAUCCUCCAGAUCCUAUCAGCCUCAAACCCUUCUCUCCAUAGGAGUCCCAAACCAGUCUAAGGACCAGUUAGGGACAGCAGGCACCAUUGGUACCCUGGAUCAUCUUCCCUAGCACAAGCCCCCAACAAAGUCUAUGAAGGGACACUGGUGGGGACUGGGACUGGGGGAGUGGGAAGUGGCAUCUAAUGUGAUCAAGGUCACAUCAAAGAAGAUUUAGGGCUAUAAAUAGGGCCCCAGACUCCACAAAUUCUCCCUGUUGUCUGAGGACUCCCAACUUUGCAGAAGACAAGGCACAGAGAGCUCCACUCAGAACUACGGAUGUGGUGGGGAAGUGGAAACCGAGCCGACAUUUGGUGUGUUGUAGCAUUCCCAUCUCUGGUUUAACACAAGCGAUGUGUUUCGCUCACAAACUGGCACUGAGAGCUCAUUUACAUUUAAAUAAGAGGCUUGUUAAUGCCAGCAGGAGGACGCUGUCAAUGCCAAGCCUGGCUCAGGAUUCCUG